AUGGAAGAAGCAGCUGCGUGGAGUAGUGAAGAUAGGAUUAGCUUCCAAACAUCCUUGCCUAGCCAUAGUGAUAGCGUGCAGCUGCAGAUGGUUAAGUAUGCAGCCCCAGCCACACCCACACCCACACAAGAUAAUGACUGUAGUGAUCCGACGAUCCAGCUGUUCAAGGAAGUAGUGCAAUCGUUCCAUACUGACUAUUUGGACAGUAUGGAACGGAAGAUGCACAAUAUCCCUCCAAGCCUGAUAGGUGUUGGCCCAUGGUACAUCCAACCGGUGACUGUGGCCAUCGGCCCUUACCACCAUGGUCUUCGUCCCAGCGUGCUGGAGGCGGAGAGGGUGAAGCAUGUGGCUGCGACCCAAUGCAUCACGGACUCGGGCCGCCCAGUCCAGGAGAUGUACGAUGCCGUCUUCGCCGUGUCCGCCGACGCCCGCAGCCUCUACUACCCGGACGAGUUGGCGAGAUUCCGCGACGACGACUUUUUGCCGAUGAUGUUCCUUGAUGGUUGCUUCUUGGUGCAGUUCAUGCGUUGCUAUGGCAACAUUGACGACAUGGAUGGCGCGCUGAACAGCUAUUUGUGCGCCAACUUCGAGCGCCUCUACACCGACAUCAUGAUGCUUGAGAACCAGAUCCCCUGGGUGGUGGUUAAAGCCAUCUUGAAGUUCAUGCCAGAGCCCUUGCUCUGGGAGGAGUUUGUCGCUGCGAUGAGAGCCGGCAUGAAAAACCAAAUGAAUUCUAAGGAAGUCCCACCCAUCCACGUAGAUCCUACCUAUGAACCGCCGCAUCUCCUCGGCCUUGUCCGGUUCUACAUCGUGGGGAACAACGACGACAUCAAAGUUGAACGCCCCACUGCUCCGGACGGAGACAAGCCCAUGUCGUUAUCCAUCAGCGUCGCCGAGCUUGCCGACAUCGGUACCACACUCGUACCCGAGACAGAAAAGUCAGGGUUAGUGCACAUGACCCUCCAAAAGAAAAGGUUAGUGGACACGGGCCUCGGCGGGAAAAAGUUUGGCUUCUUAUUUGGCGAUCUCCGCGUGCCACCCCUGUUCCCAACCGACGCAAAUGCGACUUGGCUCCUCAACAUGGCCGCCUUCGAGUUAUGCAAAACCGCAGACUUCCGCCAUGUUAAUGAUGAAGAAUCCGCUGCCUGCUCCUACCUCCAUCUCUUCGCCAUGCUGCUGGACUAG
rnacentral:rRNA from 1 species